CGGAGCUCCGGCCUCUCCCUCACGCUCCUCCCGCCGCCGCCGCGGCACCGAGUGGCUCUCUGCCUUCAGCGCUGGUCCCAGCGCGAGGUGUUGCCGUGGGCAGGGGGCUGCGUUGUGCCGCUGGCUCCCCGGGCAGCCCCAGCCCUGCAGGAAGCACCUCGCAUCCAAGAGAAGAAAGCCUUACAUGGCACAAUUUGGAUGAUCUCUGGGCUUAAACCCAUUACCAGAGAAAGAUAAUAAUGCUCUUGUGAGAGCCAAAUGAAGGGACAACACAUAAUACUAUAUACAAGGAAAAUCAGAGAUCUUGAACGAGCCAAGAGGAGAUACAUGUCAGAGUUAUUUACCAGAAAUGGAAAAAGGAACUACAAGCCACAGACAUGGCAAAAUGAUGAUGGAAGUUAUACCAAAGCUUGCUAUGUCAUGAUGUGGAAGAGGAGCAGCUGGAUACCAGGGAUGCCAGACUUGGAGCUAAACAGGUUUUGACAUGAUUGCUACAGAAAAGCUACAGUAGGGCACGGCUAAUUCACCGUGGUGCCCAUCCUGAUGUGACAUGCUCUAGAGCAAGCAGGCUCCUGCUCAGGCACUGGCAAUAAACAUGGACCAAGCCUGGGAAACAGGGACACUGACAUCCACAUAAAGUCAUUGGCCAUUCUGGCUUGGUCACUCAACAUAGAUUUUUGGCAACUUCCUUAUUUUGAUAAAAUCAGAAAGAACAUGCAGUUACACUUGUAACACAAUGCUCUUCCCUUUAUAGGUUUUAUUUCUUACCAAAACAGUAUGGUUUUAACAUAUAUAUGUACAUAUAAAUAAACAGAAUGGCAACAUAAAUAAAUAAAUAAUUACACUGUUACAUAUAUACACAUUAGAAGAACUUGCUAUUGCAACUUAACUUGCAGAUAUUUGCAAAUACAUACAGGUCUUGUCCAACAGCUCUUUCUUACAAAAGAAGAUAAAUUCAGAGACUUGGAAUAAGAUAUUUAAGAAUAAGGAUUGUGUGAUUCUCUCAUAUAUACAUGUCUAAAAGAAAGCCUGAAAAUCAGAGUUGAGUGAAGAUGAACUGGAGAAGUGGUGAUUAACAGUAAGUUAUUAGACAUAAUUUGGAAUAUUCAGAACUUAAAUUACAAAAUAGAAUCAUCCUGCUCUUCACAUUCCUGAAAUAAUCCUGUUCUUUUUCAGAAUCCUUCAUGUUACAGGGCCUGGCUCAUUAAAAGGUGUGAUUUAAAGGUGUUCAGAGCUGGUGUGUGUUAGAGUCUGUUUCUUGCCAACUGUAUCCCUAUGUUAAAUCUUUCCUUACCUAUAAACAUGACCUCUCUGAGGGGCCUGACAGCAGUUAGAGAGAACACUGUCACUGGAGACCAUUGCAAGAAGAAGACUGCAAAGAAAUCCUGCUUCCACUAAAUCCCUGUAGCUGUUGACUUCCCCAAGGACAACUUUCCUCCAUAAACCUUUCUCUAAGGUGCAAGAGGCAUACCAUAGAUGCAGACCUAUGUGUGAGACACUCUGCGCUGUCUUGACAAGUGUAGUCUGCUGGCAAUGAGGCAAAAACCGUACAAGCUAAAAUCUCUUAAUCAGAACUGAGUGUAUCUACGCUUGCUGUCACAAGUAGAAAAACAAGGUGAUGUUUAACAGGAAUAAAUUAGGAGGGAUUGGGGAAAGGGGGAAAUCUUGGAAAACCACAUCUGGAGAAAUAAUAGAAGACACAGAAGAAGCACACAGUGCAUGUUGAUAACGGCCACUAAGGGUGACUGUCCCUGUGUCUCUGGAGAUUGACUCUGAGGAACAGAGACACAAGGAGCCUUUUGGUGUUUGAAGGGGACACCUUUGGAGUGCCUUCUAACUUUAUCCCACUUCCUGUUGUAAAUAUAACUGUGAGGGUUCAAAAGAGAACCCCCUACCUGACUCUUCUGCACUCAUCUGCAGAGUUCAUGCCCAAGAGUCAGAACAUGUGGCUGCUGAUCCUACCAAGAUGCAUUGAAGCAAAGGUGAAUGCUUAAAUACUAUGUAUAGCAGAUCUAAGUAAUCACAGAAUCACAGAAUCCAUUAGAUUGGAAAAGCCCUCUGAGAUCAUGAAGUCCAGCCUAUGACUGAACACCACCAUGUGAACCAGACCAUGGCACUAAGUGCCAUGUCCAGUCUUUUCUUAAACACUUCCAGGGACAACAACUCCAUCACCUCCCUGAGCAAUCCAUUCUAAUGUUUAAUUGCUCUUUCCAUGGAGAAAUUCCUCCAGAUGCCCAACCUCCCCUGGGACAGCUUCAGGCUAGUCCUGUCACAAGUUGCCAAGGAGAAGAGUCUGAUCUCCACUUCACUACACCCUCUUUUCAGGCAAUUGUAGAGAGUAAUAAGCUCACUCCUGAGCCUCCUUUUCUCCAACAACCCUGGCUCCCUUGGCUGCUCGUGUUAUCCUCUAGACCCUUCAUCAUCUUCACUGACCUUUGCUGGACCCACUCCACCCCUUUAUGCCUUUCUGGAAUGGAGCAGCCUGGAACUGAACACAAACACUUAGGAAUCUUUUAAUAUUCAUGACUGUGCCAGGGCCAUUUAUCCCAUGCCUGUUACUUUAAUGAGAAAUACAUUUAAUGAGAAAUACGACCAUUACAAAGGCUAGUUGGGGUCUUCAGUGUGAUGAGGGUUUUUUCCCCCUGCUCAGGCUUCGGGUGUCCAGUGCCCAAACAGCCACUUAGGAAGGAAUGCGGAUGCAGGCACCGAACCUGCACUGGGCACUUAUUGCUAUCAAUGAGUACGGGGAGAAGCACCUUAAGAACACUUCAGAAAGUCUGCCUGAUAAUCCACAUCGACAAGAGAAUAUAUUGAAUGGAAGCCUCCAGGUCACUGCUAUUGCUCCCGAGGGGUCACAGAAUGGGUCAGGUUGGAGGGGACCACAGUGGGUCAGCUGGCCCAACCUCCCUGCUCAAGCAAGGCCUUCCCAGGAUUGGAACAGGAUUGUAUCCAAGGGGCUCUUGAAUAUCCCCGGUGCUGGAGAAUCCUCCACCUCUCUGGAAAAUCUGUUCCAGUGCUCAGUCACCUGCACAAUAAAGAAGUUCAUCUUCAUGUUCAGGAGAAAUUUCCCAUGGAUGAGUUUCUGCCCGUUGCCUCUUGUUCCAUUGCCUGGCAUGACCAAGCAGAGCCUGACUCCAUCCUCUAAGCACCACACCUUUAGAUAUUUACAUACAUUUGAUAAGAGCCGCCACCUCUGACGGGGCAGAAAGGACAAAACCCGUUCUAGAAGCCGGCAGCAGCCAGCGCGCUCCGUGCCGCGGGAGGACCGGGCGCUGCCGCACCCCCGGCCCUCACACACCAACAUGGC